rnacentral:rRNA from 1 species
GGAUUGGAAAUGGGGGAACCCUGAUCCAGCGACGCCGCGUGCGGGAAGAAGGCCUUCGGGUUGUAAACCGCUUUUGUCAGGGAAGAAAAGGGUGCCUCUAAUACAGGCGCCUCAUGACGGUACCUGAAGAAUAAGCACCGGCUAACUACGUGCCAGCAGCCGCGGUAAUACGUAGGGUGCAAGCGUUAAUCGGAAUUACUGGGCGUAAAGCGUGCGCAGGCGGUUAUGCAAGACAGAGGUGAAAUCCCCGGGCUCAACCUGGGAACUGCCUUUGUGACUGCAUGGCUAGAGUACGGUAGAGGGGGAUGGAAUUCCGCGUGUAGCAGUGAAAUGCGUAGAUAUGCGGAGGAACACCGAUGGCGAAGGCAAUCCCCUGGACCUGUACUGACGCUCAUGCACGAAAGCGUGGGGAGCAAACAGGAUUAGAUACCCUGGUAGUCCACGCCCUAAACGAUGUCAACUGGUUGUUGGGAGGGUUUCUUCUCAGUAACGUAGCUAACGCGUGAAGUUGACCGCCUGGGGAGUACGGCCGCAAGGUUGAAACUCAAAAGAAUUGACGGA